GGAUUUUGGGGGCGGAGUGUCUAAGGGGUCUCUAGACGCUUGUCUGAUUUGAAUGCUUUUCAGGAUGAUUUAUGGCAAAAGGCUCCUUUCUGACGCUUCCAGAUGCCAAAGCUCUUACCUUCCAGACAGGGGUGAGCGAAAUCUGCUUCCAAUAGCCGCGCGGAUGGAAGCCCGCGCGCCUACCGCGCCCGGCUGCCGGCUGCCGGUCACCCUAAACCGACUGUGUGCACCAGCCUUCUCCCGGACCCGCAGAUAACCUUUCCCCGCCUUCCUACUAAGGAGGAGGGAGGGAUCUUCUUUUUUACGAUGACAAACCUACGGAGGGAAACCAAGUCACCCCUCCUGUAAAGUUAGUCUCUUGCAGUUAACUCUGUUUUUUGCAAUUAACCACCUGCUACUGCCCCGUUGGUGGUUUGGUGUUAAUGCGAUUUGACCCCACACGUGAAGCGGGGCGGGAAUAAGCCCUCCGUUGGGACCCCUGGUGGUUUCACCCUCCGGCCUCAGCCUUCUGGCCGCGGCUGAGAUUCGCUCUCCUGGUUCCCGCGGGGCGGAGGCCCGGGCGGCGCUCAGAAGCUGCCGGGGCGUCGCGGGGUAGGAGGCGAUGUCUUCUCGAAAGCUCCCUGCAGUCUCUGGGCCGCGAGGCGAGGCCAGGAAAAAUAACCCUCCCGACUCAAUUACUAAUAAACAUCUCUAAGAAAUGGCACCCUUCUGCUUAUUAGACAAGACUCCAAUGCAAGAGAGGAGAAUAGAAUAGCAGCUUUGGAAAUGUUGAAGACAAAGAAGUGUGUAGGCCUGUCU
ensembl:lncRNA